UUUGGGUUUAGGAAUAUCUUUACCAUCUAUUUUAAUUGUGGGUGUAUGAGGAUCUUUGAUUAUAACUCUCCAAACUUGAUAAUCAAGUGUUUGAAUGUAAAUCCAUAUGCAUGCUUUCCAAUAAGUGUAAUUUGUUUCAUUGAACAAAGAUGGAUGGUUAGUCGAUUGCCCUUCGAUAAGAGACGUACUCAUUUGGGUUGCCAUUUAAUCUUAACUCUUGAUCAUUAGAUCAAAUAUAAGUAU
rnacentral:lncRNA from 1 species